rnacentral:rRNA from 1 species
AGUGAACGCUGGCGGUAGGCCUAACACAUGCAAGUCGAACGGCAGCACAGUAAGAGCUUGCUCUUACGGUUGGCGAGUGGCGGACGGGUGAGGAAUACAUCGGAAUCUACUUUUUCGUGGGGGAUAACGUAGGGAAACUUACGCUAAUACCGCAUACGACCUACGGGUGAAAGCAGGGGAUCUUCGUACCUUGCGCGAUUGAAUGAGCCGAUGUCGGAUUAGCUAGUUGGCGGGGUAAAGGCCCACCAAGGCGACGAUCCGUAGCUGGCCUGAGAGGAUGAUCAGCCACACGGGAACUGAGACACGGUCCAGACUCCUACGGGAGGCAGCAGUGGGGAAUAUUGGACAAUGGGCGCAAGCCUGAUCCAGCCAUACCGCGUGGGUGAAGAAGGCCUUCGGGUUGUAGAGCCAUUUUGUUGGGAAAGAAAAGCAGCAGGUUAAUACCCCGCUGUUCUGACGGUACCCAAAGAAUAAGCACCGGCUAACUUCGUG